CCGCCUUACCUAGUAAGGUGGUUAUGACACUCGUCUCCUAAUCGAGUGAGUUCGGGUUCGAAUCCCGAAUAAAGAUGGA